GUGCCAGCCGCCGCGGUAAUACGGAGGGUGCAAGCGUUGUCCGGAAUCACUGGGCGUAAAGGGUGCGCAGGCGGGGCAGUAAGUCGGAGGUGAAAGCCCGUGGCUCAACCACGGAAGUGCCUUCGAAGCUGUUGCGCUUGAGUCUCGGAGAGGUUGGCGGAAUUCGUGGUGUAGCGGUGAAAUGCGUAGAUAUAACGAGGAACACCAGAGGCGAAAGCGGGCAACUGGACGGGUACUGACGCUCAGGCACGAAAGCGCGGGGAGCAAACAGGAUUAGAAACCCCAGUAGUCC
rnacentral:rRNA from 1 species